rnacentral:rRNA from 1 species
UACGUAGGGUCCGAGCGUUGUCCGGAAUUACUGGGCGUAAAGAGCUCGUAGGUGGUUUUGUCGCGUUGUUCGUGAAAACUCACAGCUCAACUGUGGGCGUGCGGGCGAUACGGGCAGACUUGAGUACUGCAGGGGAGACUGGAAUUCCUGGUGUAGCGGUGGAAUGCGCAGAUAUCAGGAGGAACACCGGUGGCGAAGGCGGGUCUCUGGGCAGUAACUGACGCUGAAGAGCGAAAGCGUGGGGAGCGAACAGG